AAAACAUUUCUUUUUGAUUUAAAUUUAAAGUAAUUUCUGCUCAAUGAAUUAAAAUUUAAAUAGCUGCAGUAUUUUAACUGUACAAAGGUAGCAUAAUAAAUUGUUUUUUAAUUGAAAACUUGAAUGAAUGAAUUAAUGAAAUAAAAACUUUAUUUAAAUUAUAUAUUAAAAUUUAUUUUUAAGUUAAAAAGCUUAAAUAUAUUUAUGGGACGAUAAGACCCUAUAGAAUUUUAUUUUAUUAUUUAUAAAUUAAUUUAUAAUAAAAUAAUUUAUAAAUAAUAAAAUUUUUUUGGGAGGAAAAUUAAAUUUAAUUAACUUUUAUUUAUUUAUAACAUUUUUAAAUGUUAAUGAAAAUUAAGAAUUUAAUUUAUUUUAAUUAAAAGAUUAAAUUACCUUAGGGAUAACAGCGUAAUAUUUUUGGAUAGUUCAUAUUGAUAAAAAUGUUU
rnacentral:rRNA from 1 species